rnacentral:lncRNA from 10 species
GUGAGCGGGGUCGUGGGGAGAGGGCGCGCGGGGCCCAGGGAACCCGUGAUGGAAAAGGAAGCCCGCAGUGGGUCUGACUCUUCAAGAGAUAAGGAAGUGGUAGGAAAGUAGCCUUGCGCGGUGGGUAUCUUAGAGGCAAAAAGAAAGUGACUCCGCCAGGCUCUGGCCUCCCAGGAAGGCGGAAGUAGGCUUGCCUAUCUUCCACUUUUCUAUCUUUAAGGAAAGAAUAGGAAAAGACGGAAGCAGGCCCCAGCGAGAUUUGAACUCGCGACCCUGGUUUACAAGACCAGUGCUCUAACCCCUGAGCUAUGGAGCCGGCUGUUGGUUUCCUUUUGACACAAAAGCAGUUGACGCUGUCGCCGGCGCCGCGCAGCCGCAGUCCGCUGAACCCUCGGCCGAGUUCUGUGGCUGCUGGACCCAAGCUCCUCCCACGGCCGCAGCCAUCUUGCCCGUGCGUCCGUGGCACGGAACGGCCGUUAGUCCCGGCAGAGGGCUCCGCGAAGACAGUGCCGUCGUUGGGCGCGCGCGCGGGCGGGAGCUGUCGGGGCGGGGCGGCACCGCCGAGCUCCGAGCUGUGAGGACCGCCCCGGGCCUUGGGCGGGGCGGGGGCCAGGGAAGGGCGUGCGCAGGAUUGGGGAGCACGUUUUGCGUCUUGCUGUGCGUGAGGAAGCGGGGAUCCAGGUCAAGGCUAUGGAAAGGCAGGACUUUGAAAUGACCCUGUCCUCAGCCUGGAGGAUGCGGUAUUCUGAUUGUCUGGUGCUGUGUCAACUGGGCCUGCCUCUGGGAUAGUGUUGUGGCUGCCCCACGAGAACCCUAUAUGCCAGUUCCAGAAGCAAAAACAAAAAAAGUUCGGGUACAGCGGCUCACACCUGUAAUCCCAGCUCUUAGGGAGAUGGAAACUGGAGGAUCACUUGAGGCCAGGAGUUCAAGACCAGCCUGGGCAACAUAGCAAGACCCAGU